rnacentral:rRNA from 1 species
GAUGAACGCUGGCGGCGUGCCUAAUACAUGCAAGUCGAGCGAACAGAUGAGGAGCUUGCUCCUCUGACGUUAGCGGCGGACGGGUGAGUAACACGUGGAUAACCUACCUAUAAGACUGGGAUAACUUCGGGAAACCGGAGCUAAUACCGGAUAAUAUAUUGAACCGCAUGGUUCAAUAGUGAAAGACGGUUUUGCUGUAACUUAAAGCUGGCUCCGCGCCGCAUUAGCUAGUUGGUAAGGUAACGGCUUACCAAGGCAACGAUGCGUAGCCGACCUGAGAGGGUGAUCGGCCACACGGGAACUGAGACACGGUCCAGACUCCUACGGGAGGCAGCAGUAGGGAAUCUUCCGCAAUGGGCGAAAGCCUGACGGAGCAACGCCGCGUGAGUGAUGAAGGUCUUCGGAUCGUAAAACUCUGUUAUUAGGGAAGAACAAAUGUGUAAGUAACUAUGCACGUCUUGACGGUACCUAAUCAGAAAGCCACGGCUAACUACGUG